rnacentral:rRNA from 1 species
GAUGAACGCUGGCGGCGUGCUUAACACAUGCAAGUCGAACGAAGCACUCUAUUUGAUUUUCUUCGGAAAUGAAGAUUUUGUGACUGAGUGGCGGACGGGUGAGUAACGCGUGGGUAACCUGCCUCAUACAGGGGGAUAACAGUUGGAAACGACUGCUAAUACCGCAUAAGCGCACAGGAUCGCAUGAUCCGGUGUGAAAAACUCCGGUGGUAUGAGAUGGACCCGCGUCUGAUUAGCCAGUUGGUGGGGUAACGGCCUACCAAGCCGACGAUCAGUAGCCGACCUGAGAGGGUGACCGGCCACAUUGGGACUGAGACACGGCCCAAACUCCUACGGGAGGCAGCAGUGGGGAAUAUUGCACAAUGGGGGAAACCCUGAUGCAGCGACGCCGCGUGAGCGAUGAAGUAUUUCGGUAUGUAAAGCUCUAUCAGCAGGGAAGAAAAUGACGGUACCUGACUAAGAAGCACCGGCUAAAUACGUGCCAGCAGCCGCGGUAAUACGUAUGGUGCAAGCGUUAUCCGGAUUUACUGGGUGUAAAGGGAGCGUAGACGGAGUGGCAAGUCUGAUGUGAAAACCCGGGGCUCAACCCCGGGACUGCAUUGGAAACUGUCAAUCUAGAGUACCGGAGAGGUAAGCGGAAUUCCUAGUGUAGCGGUGAAAUGCGUAGAUAUUAGGAGGAACACCAGUGGCGAAGGCGGCUUACUGGACGGUAACUGACGUUGAGGCUCGAAAGCGUGGGGAGCAAACAGGAUUAGAUACCCUGGUAGUCCACGCCGUAAACGAUG